ensembl:lncRNA
UUUAUGAUCAAAUUCUCUUCCACUUACUGGUAAUUUGUGGGCAACAGUGAAAAAAUCCUGGGUCGUGGAGCUCACUCCGAGUCAGAGGAGACAACGAUAAACAAAAUAAAUAUGUAAAGUAUUGGUGUAUCGUACAGUGACAAGGGAUGCAGAGAACAAUGAAGUACAAAUGCAAGACCCUGAGCAAUGGCGGUGCAGGCCGGUUUGGAAGAGCAUGGUCAGAGAAGACCUCACCAAGAAGGUGGCACUUGACAAGGACCUGAAAAAGAAGAGGGAUGAGCGUGGAGGCCACGUGGGAGACAAGCAUCCCAGGCACAAACAAGUAGCCUGCAUGCCCAGCCAGGCGGAGACAUCAGAUUGGCCAUCACACGUCCUUCAGAAGACCUGCAGGGGCAGUAGGUGAGGUCAGGACAUUAGAGAGAUUGGAUGACCCCCAGUUUCCAGGCCUCAUGAAGACUUUCUAAGUGAUGUAGGAAGUCCAUGCAUGUUGCCCACAAAGGAGAGACAAACCACUCUGUGCUUAGUGUGGUGAAGGGAGACGUCCUCCCUCAUGUUGGAGAUGGACAAGAGGCCAAGUGCAGAGAACGGGAGGCUGGGAGGGACCAGGAGAGCUCUUUUCACGACGCUCCCAGUGGCCCAUCCGGAGCACACCAGUUGGGAACUUCUGCUGUUCAGCGUCCGGGGACACAAAGAUCAGUGCUCUUCGAAUACAGAUGAGAGCUCUGGGCGUCCAUGCAGGUGCAGCUCUGUCCUCGUCCUGGGGAACCAUCGGCUCGGGCCACUCUGCCCGCUCUCCCUGCAUCUGCACCUGUCCCACCUGGAGAACGAGUUCCUGGUCCUCCUCUGUGGGCUCCUUCCACUCACACCAGCAAGGCUUUAGGAUCUGUGUCUGCACAGAGCUCAGUAGUAGUAGAACAGUACCCAGAUAUGAGUGCCUCAUGUAGGUAGGAGAAUCCCUGUCACUCUCCACAGCCCUGGUCAGAUUCCCCUGCCCUGACCCAGACUCAUCUCCCACUUGACCUCCGUUCCUACUGACCCACUGCCAUGAGCAGAUAUCUGCACAGCGAGGCUUGGACUUGGCCUAGUCUUUGCCUGCCUUUAUUCUGUAGUAAAUCAUUUAUUGUUCUCAACCUACCGGUGGCCAUGUGGCACCACCAUGACUUUGCUCAUGCUGCUCCUUCUCCCUGAAGUCGCUGUCCUAUUUUCUCCACCAGGUGAACUUUCACUUGACCUUCAGGGAUCCACCAGGCAUCUUGGCCAAGUGUCCACAGCUAAUCUCCCAAGCACUGAGCCCCCUACACUGUGACACACCCCAUCAAAGGGAAAGCAUUGCUAUGUCCUGUUCCCACCAUCCUCUACAUCUUUAGUGGCCAGAGAUGACUUUGUUUUGAUAUCUGUUCCUAAAUCCCUGCGUCCUGCCACACUUAGCUGGGAAAACAUUUGCAGAACUCGGGCUCCUCUGCUCUGUUUACUCAACAACUUCAAAUAGUCCAAAUUGAUUUCUCCUUUGUAUGAAUGCCAGCCUGAAUCAAGUGACUUAACAUGUAAUUGUUCUUUAAUUCUUUAACUUUUACCUGUGUUUUUCACGUGGUUCAAUAUACAAAG